GGGGAAUCUUCCGCAAUGGACGAAAGCCUGACGGAGCAACGCCGCGUGAGUGAUGACGGCCUUCGGGUUGUAAAGCUCUGUUAAUCGGGACGAAAGGCCUUCUUGCGAAUAGUUAGAAGGAUUGACGGUACCGGAAUAGAAAGCCACGGCUAACUACGUGCCAGCAGCCGCGGUAAUACGUAGGUGGCAAGCGUUGUCCGGAAUUAUUGGGCGUAAAGCGCGCGCAGGCGGAUUGGUCAGUCUGUCUUAAAAGUUCGGGGCUUAACCCCGUGAUGGGAUGGAAACUGCCAAUCUAGAGUAUCGGAGAGGAAAGUGGAAUUCCUAGUGUAGCGGUGAAAUGCGUAGAUAUUAGGAAGAACACCAGUGGCGAAGGCGACUCUCUGGACGAAAACUGACGCUGAGGCGCGAAAGCCAGGGGAGCGAACGGGAUUAGAUACCCCGGUAGUCCUGGCCGUAAACGAUGGGUACUAGGUGUAGGAGGUAUCGACCCCUUCUGUGCCGGAGUUAACGCAAUAAGUACCCCGCCUGGGGAGUACGACCGCAAGGUUG
rnacentral:rRNA from 1 species